AGUGAACGCUGGCGGUAGGCCUAACACAUGCAAGUCGAACGGCAGCACAGGAGAGCUUGCUCUCUGGGUGGCGAGUGGCGGACGGGUGAGGAAUACAUCGGAAUCUACUUUUUCGUGGGGGAUAACGUAGGGAAACUUACGCUAAUACCGCAUACGACCUACGGGUGAAAGCAGGGGAUCUUCGGACCUUGCGCGAUUGAAUGAGCCGAUGUCGGACUAGCUAGUUGGCGGGGUAAAGGCCAACCAAGGCGACGAUCCGUAGCUGGUCUGAGAGGAUGAUCAGCCAAACUGGAACUGAGACACGGUCCAGACUCCUACGGGAGGCAGCGGUGGGGAAUAUUGGACAAUGGGCGCAAGCCUGAUCCAGCCAUACCGCGUGGGUGAAGAAGGCCUUCGGGUUGUAAAGCCCUUUUGUUGGGAAAGGAAUCCAGCUGGCUAAUACCCGGUUGGGAUGACGGUACCCAAAGAAUAAGCACCGGCUAACUUCGUGCCAGCCGCCGCCGUAA
rnacentral:rRNA from 1 species